rnacentral:lncRNA from 1 species
AUGAGGAACCUCGAGGAUGCGAGAAGAGUUAGCGUUUUCGAUGAUGAUGCAUACUCGGAGAAAGUCUCGCUCAAGUCGGGGCAGGAUUAUUACUCGAGCCCCAAGGAGCACAUACCGCCGCUCCCGCCCAAGAGGAAAAGGAGUUCGAGGGAUAUCACCCAGGAUAAUGAUUCGUUGGACGAGGAGAGAUACAACCUCAAUGGCUGGGCCAAUAGGAGUCCGGAUCAAGAUAAAGCACCUAGCAGGGAGACGGCCAUGGAUGAAAUUCAUCUCGAGAAUGUCGAUCAAAAUCAAUACGACUUGCCACCGAAUGUGCCCCGGAGGAGAACAAGAUCUCGAGGCACCUCUCUCGUGGAUGAGGACCGAACUUCCAGGGAAGCAGAAUCUUUACCCAGUGAAAGGACCGAGGAGUUUCCACCAGAAAACGAUAUCCGAGACGCAAUGUACGGCUAUGCUACAGUUGAAAAAUCUGCGAAAACAGAGAAACCCGACAAACCUCCCCGCCCUCCACCACCGGGUCGACAAAAGAAGCGGUUCCGAAAUAUUAAAUCACAGGGAUUCUCUUACUUUUUCACAGUUCCUAGGAGAAGACAAAGUAAUCUUACUCAACAAUAUCAGCAAUACAUUUGUAGUACACCUCCAGUUCGACCAUAUCGCAACUACAGCACGAUUGGUCCAUCUCGACCACCAAGGCGAAACAAAGUGUUCAGAGAACCUGUGUACGCAGAUGGAGACGAGAAGGAGAAUAAAGUUAAAACGCUUGAAGACGAGGAAUUGGAGAGAGAUAUCGAAGAAUUAAUAAAAAACGCCAUCAAUGACCAACUAAACGACAACCUAAAGUCGGGAGAUGUAAUUGAAAAAAUGAAAGUAAGACCACUGCCACCUCCACCCAGACCUCCGAGAAGAACUCGUGAGGAAGGCGAUUAUGACGAUACGAGAAAUGAGGAGGGUAACGUUGAACUUCAUUUACGUAGCCUUAACGCAAGCCCAGAACCCGUUGUCGAGCAAGAAUGUGUUGCCAAGCAUGACACUGUCAGUAUAGAGGAAAAUAGCCGCAUUAGUACUGCUCAAAAUGACCUUAACAAGACGAAAAGCUUAGAGAUGAUAACUGAUUCCCAAAGACAAUCAAGACCUAGCACUAUUUCACGAAGAGCACCUUCAAGAAGAAAUAGUGCAACGAAACGAAGCAAGACUCCUCUGCCCCAAGAUCGAGCACCAACAGAGGAAGCACAAGAAGUCAAGAUUGAGGAUGUUUCCGUUUCUACGCAGACCGAUGUCCUUCCUGAAGGGUACAUCAUCGAGGAAGAGCGAAUGACAGACGACAGAAGUCAAACGGAUAGUAGUUAUCCCACAACCACAGCUACCCUGACAGGUUCGGACUCAGGGGCUGCAGCUCUUGUAGAGCGAAAAGUGAUCCUCCUUCCUGAUAAAGAGCUGGAGGUGGAGAUUCUAAAAACCAAGAAAAUUCAAGUGUCAGAGAUCGAUGUUGAAAAACUUAACGUUACAGAGAUUAACACUAACAAAAUCAAGGUGUCGGACGUGGAUGGUGUAUCGAUGCAUGUCGCUGAGAUAAACAGUAAGAGCGGUAAUAUUGUCAUUAAUAACCUAGAACUGCCUCAAAGCGUGCUGGAGAGCAUAUCAAGAAACCUGGCUGAGCUACAAUCAACGAGCGCUGGCACAUCUGGCUCAGAGGUCCCCGAGUCGAUGCUUCGUUUGUCGCGAGGAGGUCUGAGCUCUCCGACUGGUGGUUUGGAAGGGGAGUCAUCGAGCGUUGUGCCCAUUCCUGGUUCACACAGAGUGCUCAGCACCGGAUUAUCUUCAGAAGAGGGCGCUAUCUCUCUACCUCCUCGUCGGGAUCCCACUGUUUAUGAGCUGAGCCAACAAAUGUUUGAUAUAAUACAGAGGAAUGUCUCAAAGUUCGUAGAGAGAAGUAUUCAAAAUGGAAUUAUUGAUGUAGAAAAGCAAAGAGAGAUUCAACACACGAUUAGUAUUGUUUUAAUUGUGGUAGCGGUUCUUUACUUAAUUGGAUUUGGCUCAGGGAGUACAAUCCAUACUCAUCACUGGGAUUUCCAAUUCCCACCUCCUCCACCUCCUCAAGGAUCUCAUCCGUGA